AUGUCGUGUUACCCGCGCCUGAAUAUAUAGGGUGUGUGGAGGGAACGUGGGGAAGUGAAACAUCUCAGUACCCACAGGAAGAGAAAACAAGAGUGAUUCCGUGAGUAGUGGCGAGCGAAAGCGGAUGAGGCUAAACCAUGUAGAUGUGAUAGCCGGCAGGCGUUGUCUAUGUGGGGUUGUGGGGUUGCUCUUCCCGGUUCUGCCGAGCUGGGCGUGAGUCAGAAACCGUUGUGUUAGCUGAAGUGGUCUGGGACGGCCUACCGUAGACGGUGAGAGUCCGGUAAGUGAAAACAUGACGGCUCAUGUGAGUGAUACCCGAGUAGCAGCGGGCCCGUGAAAUCUGCUGUGAAUCUGCCGGGACCACCCGGUAAGCCUGAAUACUCCCUGGUGACCGAUAGCGGACUAGUACCGUGAGGGAAAGGUGAAAAGUACCCCGGGAGGGGAGUGAAAUAGUACCUGAAACCGUGCGCUUACAAUCCGUCAGAGCCUGCGCCCAGUUUUCUGGGGUGGGUGAUGGCGUGCCUUUUGAAGAAUGAGCCUGCGAGUUAGUGGCAUGUGGCGAGGUUAACCCGUGUGGGGUAGCCGUAGCGAAAGCGAGUCCGAAUAGGGCGUUGAGUCGCGUGUUCUAGACCCGAAGCGGAGUGAUCUACCCAUGGCCAGGGUGAAGCGACGGUAAGACGUCGUGGAGGCCCGAACCCACUUAGGUUGAAAACUGAGGGGAUGAGCUGUGGGUAGGGGUGAAAGGCCAAUCAAACUCCGUGAUAGCUGGUUCUCCCCGAAAUGCAUUUAGGUGCAGCGUCACGUGUUUCACGCCGGAGGUAGAGCUACUGGAUGGCCUAGGGGGCCUACAAGCUUACCGAAGUCAGCCAAACUCCGAAUGCCGGUGUGUGAGAGCGUGGCAGUGAGACUGCGGGGGAUAAGCUUCGUAGUCGAGAGGGAAACAGCCCAGAUCGCCGGCUAAGGCCCCUAAGCGUGUACUAAGUGGAAAAGGAUGUGGGGUCGCGAAGACAACCAGGAGGUUGGCUUAGAAGCAGCCACCCUUGAAAGAGUGCGUAAUAGCUCACUGGUCAAGUGAUCCUGCGCCGACAAUGUAGCGGGGCUCAAGUACACCGCCGAAGCCGCGGCA
rnacentral:rRNA from 1 species